GGCCGUGUGGCGCAGUGGUAGCGCUUCUGAUUCCAAACCAGAUGGUCAUCGGUUCGAUCCCGGUCGCGGUCA
rfam:Enterocytozoon bieneusi H348 SC_2496 genomic scaffold, whole genome shotgun sequence.